rnacentral:rRNA from 1 species
UACAGAGGGGGCAAGCGUUGUCCGGAAUUAUUGGGCGUAAAGAGCUCGUAGGCGGUCUGUCGCGUCGGCUGUGAAAACCCGAGGCUCAACCUCGGGCCUGCAGUCGAUACGGGCAAACUAGAGUACUGCAGGGGAGACUGGAAUUCCUGGUGUAGCGGUGAAAUGCGCAGAUAUCAGGAGGAACACCGGUGGCGAAGGCGGGUCUCUGGGCAGUAACUGACGCUGAGGAGCGAAAGCGUGGGGAGCGAACAGG